rnacentral:rRNA from 1 species
CCUACGGGAUGCAGCAGUGAGGAAUAUUGGUCAAUGGGCGGGAGCCUGAACCAGCCAAGUCGCGUGAGGGAAGACGGUCCUAUGGAUUGUAAACCUCUUUAGGCGGGGAGCAAUGCCGGGCACGCGUGCCCGGAGGGAGAGUACCCGCAGAAUAAGCAUCGGCUAACUCCGUGCCAGCAGCCGCGGUAAUACGGAGGAUGCGAGCGUUAUCCGUAGUUAUUGGGUUUAAAGGGUGCGGAGGCGGAUUUUUAAGUCAGCGGUAAAAUGUCCGGGCUCAAUCCGGGCCGGCCGUUGAAACUGGGGAUCUUGAGUGGGCGAGAAGUAUGCGGAAUGCGGGGUGUAGCGGUGAAAUGCAUAGAUAUCACGCAGAACUCCGAUUGCGAAGGCAGCAUACCGGCGCCCGACUGACGCUGAGGCACGAAAGCGUGGGGAGCGAACAGGAUUAGAUACCCUUGUAGUC